UACGAAGGGGGCUAGCGUUGCUCGGAAUCACUGGGCGUAAAGGGUGCGUAGGCGGGUCUUUAAGUUAGAGGUGAAAGCCCAGGGCUCAACCCUGGAAUAGCCUUUAAUACUGGAUAUCUUGAGUUCGGGAGAGGUGAGUGGAACUCCGAGUGUAGAGGUGAAAUUCGUAGAUAUUCGGAAGAACACCAGUGGCGAAGGCGACUCACUGGCCCGAUACUGACGCUGAGGCGCGAAAGCGUGGGGAGCAAACAGG
rnacentral:rRNA from 1 species